rnacentral:rRNA from 1 species
UACGGAGGAUGCGAGCGUUAUCCGGAUUUAUUGGGUUUAAAGGGUGCGCAGGCGGCUUGCUAAGCGGGAGGUGAAAUGCCGGCGCUCAACGUCGGAAGUGCCUCCCGAACUGGUGGGCUGGAAUGACUCUGGCGUGGGAGGAAUGUGUAGUGUAGCGGUGAAAUGCUUAGAGGUUACACAGAACACCGAUUGCGAAGGCGUCUCACGAAGGGUCGAUUGACGCUGAGGCACGAAAGCGUGGGGAUCAAAC